AUUGAACGCUGGCGGCAGGCCUAACACAUGCAAGUCGAGCGGGGUUUUAGGACCUAGCGGCGGACGGGUGAGUAAUGCGUAGGAAGCUACACGAUAGAGAGGGAUACCAGUUGGAAACGACUGUUAAUACCGCAUAAUGUCUACGGACCAAAGUGUGGGACCUUCGGGCCACAUGCUAUCGGAUGAGCCGACGUGGGAUUAGCUAGUUUGUGGGGUAAUGGCUCACCAAGGCGACGAUCCCUAGCUGGUUUGAGAGUAUGAUCAGCCACACUGGAACUGAGACACUGUCCAGACUCCUACGGGAGGUAGCAGUGGGGAAUAUUGGACAAUGGGCGCAAGCCUGAUCCAGCCAUGCCGCGUGUGUGAAGAAGGCCUUCGGGUUGUAAAGCACUUUCAGUAGGGAGGAAGCGUUGUGUGUUAAUAGUACACAGCGUUGACGUUACCUACAGAAGAAGCACCGGCUAACUCUGUGCCAGCAGCCGCGGUAACAC
rnacentral:rRNA from 1 species